GUGAACGCUGGCGGUAGGCCUAACACAUGCAAGUCGAACGGCAGCACAGUAAGAGCUUGCUCUUACGGGUGGCGAGUGGCGGACGGGUGAGGAAUACAUCGGAAUCUACUUUUUCGUGGGGGAUAACGUAGGGAAACUACCGCUAAUCCGGCAUACGCCCUAGGGGCGAAGCCGGGGGAUCUCCGGACCUGUUGCGAUUAAUUGUCCGGAUGUGGGAUUAGCUAGUUGGCGGGGUAAAGGCCCACCAAGGCGACGAUCCGUAGCUGGUCUGAGAGGAUGAUCAGCCACACUGGAACUGAGACACGGUCCAGACUCCUACGGGAGGCAGCAGCGGGGAAUAUUGGACAAUGGGCGCAAGCCUGAUCCAGCCAUACCGCGUGGGUGAAGAAGGCCUUCGGGUUGUAAAGCCCUUUUGUUGGGAAAGAAAAGCAGCAGGUUAAUUCCCCGCUGUUCUGACGGUACCCAAAGAAUAAGCACCGGCUAACUUCGUG
rnacentral:rRNA from 1 species